rnacentral:lncRNA from 1 species
GUAUCUUAUAUUUAUAAUUCAUAAGAGUUAUCGACCAUUCCUAUAACAAAUAGCAAAAGGUUUGGUGGUUGGUACCCAAGACCCAGGUUCGAAUCCUACUUGAUUCACAUUUUCAGCGAAGUUUAUUUCUAAAUGAAAAAAAAGAAGCAGGUGACGUACUAUCUAUUUCUCAAAAAAAAAAGAAAAGAAAAAAGAAGAUAAUUUAUAGGAGUUGGACUACUAAAGA